AGGAGUCAGUGAAGCAAGUUCAUGAGACUCGGAGGCAAGGACACCAAACCAGGAGUUUUAGCUCCUACCCAUGGUACUGGCUAAUACAUCUGACCACACCGGCUCUGCAAGACCAUGACUGAAGAUUGCUUAAAUGUUGUCCCUGAGUGAAUAUCUUAACAUUUAUUGCAUCUUUCAUUUUCUUAACAAAAAUGAAGGAGUUUGUGACUGCGUUGUUUUCCAUCAAAAAUUGGGAAUCAUGCCCUUUCAUACAACAUAGUUGUGACACGAUUUGUUGAAGUGAAAGAACACUGGAACAGAAGCAAAAAAUACCUGAGAUGAAGACUCACCUCUUACCAUCAACCUAGUGUUGACUUUGG